UACAGAGGGGGCAAGCGUUGUUCGGAAUUACUGGGCGUAAAGGGCGCGUAGGCGGCCUGUUAAGUCAGACGUGAAAUCCCCAGGCUCAACUUGGGAACUGCGUCUGAUACUGGAUGGCUUGAAUUCGGGAGAGGGAUGCAGAAUUCCAGGUGUAGCGGUGAAAUGCGUAGAUAUCUGGAGGAAUACCGGUGGCGAAGGCGGCAUCCUGGACCGAGAUUGACACUGAUGAGCGAAAGCUAGGGGAGCAAACGGG
rnacentral:rRNA from 1 species